rnacentral:rRNA from 1 species
GAGUGAACGCUGGCGGUAGGCCUAACACAUGCAAGUCGAACGGCAGCACAGUAAGAGCUUGCUCUUACGGGUGGCGAGUGGCGGACGGGUGAGGAAUACAUCGGAAUCUACUUUUUCGUGGGGGAUAACGUAGGGAAACUUACGCUAAUACCGCAUACGACCUACGGGUGAAAGCAGGGGAUCUUCGGACCUUGCGCGAUUGAAUGAGCCGAUGUCGGAUUAGCUAGUUGGCGGGGUAAAGGCCCACCAAGGCGACGAUCCGUAGCUGAUCUGAGAGGAUGAUCAGCCACACUGGAACUGAGACACGGUCCAGACUCCUACGGGAGGCAGCAGUGGGGAAUAUUGGACAAUGGGCGCAAGCCUGAUCCAGCCAUACCGCGUGGGUGAAGAAGGCCUUCGGGUUGUAAAGCCCUUUUGUUGGGAAAGAAAAGCAGCAGGUUAAUACCCCGCUGUUCUGACGGUACCCAAAGAAUAAGCACCGGCUAACUUCGUG